AAAGUGGCUGAAGGGUAAUGAACCCAAAAUACCUAAGUAGCAAAUGAGUCACCGAACUUCCACAGCUGGCUGUGUUGUGGGUAAAUAGCAGAGAGGAGGUAAAGUGUUCUCCAAGACCCAGGCUCUUCCAUAAUGAGAACAAACUGGAGGCUCUUGAGAGGACUUAAAAGAUACCUCAUGAAGAAGAUAUCAGCCAAGUCAACUAUAGAUGAUGGAAAACCUUCGUCCCAUGGAGGCUCUGACAACAAAGAUGCCACAAGAUGGGACUUCUGCUAGAACACUUGCUUGCCUGAGCAUGUGCAUCAAGCCCUGGGUUCCUUCCUAGCACCACAAAAUUAAAAAAUAAACAGGACAGCGUCUCUCACUCAUUUACUCCAAAA
rnacentral:lncRNA from 1 species